rfam:Agrilus planipennis Contig24691, whole genome shotgun sequence.
AAAUAGCUACUGUAGAAUCAUUGGAGAUAGUGCUUACGUCAUUAACAUAGAAUGUACAAAUCCAAAAAAUAGUAGCAACAGUGAACUGGUGCUGUUGUGAUUUGACAUCCACAUCUAGUAUCGAGGCUGAAGAUGAUGUUAUGUGGUCCUAGAACGGCCUGAGGUAGAGGGGUUUUAGUCGGUAAGCCUGGGGAAACCUUUCUGGGGAAUCUGACACACCCAGUCGUACGGACGGCUGGGUGUCGUUUGAAGAUUUCCCCUCCUCUACGAAA